CCCUUAGACGUUCUGGGCCGCACGCGCGCUACACUGACGGAGCCAGCGAGUAUAAACCUUGGCCGAGAGGUCUGGGAAAUCUUGUGAAACUCCGUCGUACUGGGGAUAGAGCAUUGUAAUUAUUGCUCUUCAACGAGGAAUUCCUAGUAAGCGCAAGUCAUCAGCUUGCGUUGAUUACGUCCCUGCCCUUUGUACACACCGCCCGUCGCUACUACCGAUUGAAUGGCUUAGUGAGGCUUCCGGAUUGGUUUAGAGAAGGGGGCAACUCCAUCUUGGAACCGAGAAGCUAGUCAAACUUGGUCAUUUAGAGGAAGUAAAAGUCGUAACA
rnacentral:rRNA from 1 species